GCCGCCCGCUCACAGCCCCUCCUCCAUCCGCCCAGCAGUCCCUCCACCGGGAGAGCCCCCCAGCUGGAGUGGCCAAGGCUGCCUGUCUCUCCUCCCCUACCAGUGGGAGAUCAGACCCCUCCACACCCAGCGCCAAGGCAAGCCCCUCAUAGAGACCAACGCAGGGCGGAGACAAUGAGGGUUGGGGAAACCACCCACCCCAGAGCAGAACAAGCUGAUUCGGAUUCCAGGCUGGACCCCGGAUUCUCUGAGCCCCGGAGUCCAAGCGCCCAAGAACCAAGGUGGAACGCCUGGCGCAGGACUGUAAAAGAACCACAGACAUGGAGCAGGUUCUGAAUCCCCUGAGAAGCACCUCUGAUGGUGACCAAGGAAGGGAAGGACAAGUGAACAAGCCCUCUGGGGUUCCGGGCACAGACAGUUCACCUUCAAAACAAGCGGCAUCUUCAUGUGGCUUUCUGAUACUCUGACGUUUCUUUCAGUGUAAGAAUUUUUUAGGGGUGCCUGGGUGGCUCAGUCAUUAAGUGUCUGCCUUCAGCUCAGGUCAUGAUCCCAGGGUCCUGGGAUCAAGCCCUGUAUCCUGCUCCCUGUUUGGCGGGAAGCCUGCUUCUCCCUCUCCCACUACCCCUGUUUCUGUUCCCUCUCUUGCUCUCUGUCAAAUAAAU
rnacentral:lncRNA from 1 species